rnacentral:rRNA from 1 species
UACAGAGGGUGCAAGCGUUGUUCGGAAUACUGGGCGUAAAGCGCGCGUAGGCGGACCUGCAAGUCGGGGGUGAAAGCCCGAGGCUCAACCUCGGAACUGCCUUCGAUACUGCGGGUCUCGAGUCCGGGAGAGGUGAGUGGAAUUCCUAGUGUAGAGGUGAAACUCGUAGAUAUUAGGAAGAACACCAGUGGCGAAGGCGGCUCACUGGCCCGGUACUGACGCUGAGGCGCGAAAGCGUGGGGAGCAAACAGG